rnacentral:rRNA from 1 species
AUGAAGAAGCUUUUUGAAAUACAUCUGCUGGACGAUAAAACGUUCGAGGAUGAAGUCAGACAUCUUAUAGCGAUCAGGCACCAAAAUCUAGUACAACUUAUUGGUUACUGUGCUGAAUCAAGUUGGGAAUUGGUAGAGCAGAGUGGAAAGCAUGUUUUUGCUGAAAUACUGAAAAGGUUGCUCUGCUUUGAGUAUGUAUGCAACAAAAGCCUUGACAAGUAUAUUUCCGAUGAAUCUCUGGACCUUGAGUGGAAUAUGAGAUACGAGAUAAUCAAGGCAAUUUGCAGUGGUUUGUGUUUCCUUCAGGAAGAAUACCGUAUCCUUCAUCUGGACCUUAAGCCAGAAAAUAUAUUGAUGGACUUUAUGAUGAUGCCGAAAAUCGCGGAUUUUGGUUUGUCGAGUCUCUUUGGUGUGCAGCAAAUGCGAAUCUUCACUGAUAAUCCUGCAGGAAACAUGAAUAUAUGGCACCAGAAUACUUACUUCAAAGUGUAA